UACGUAGGGUGCGAGCGUUGUCCGGAAUUAUUGGGCGUAAAGAGCUCGUAGGCGGUCUGUCGCGUCGGCUGUGAAAACCCGGGGCUCAACCCCGGGCCUGCAGUCGAUACGGGCAGACUAGAGUGCGGUAGGGGAGACUGGAAUUCCUGGUGUAGCGGUGGAAUGCGCAGAUAUCAGGAGGAACACCGGUGGCGAAGGCGGGUCUCUGGGCCGUAACUGACGCUGAGGAGCGAAAGCGUGGGGAGCGAACAGG
rnacentral:rRNA from 1 species